rnacentral:rRNA from 1 species
AACGCGAAGAACCUUACCAGGUCUUGACAUACUGAUGACCAUCCUAGAGAUAGGAUUUCUCCUUCGGGAGCAUCAGAUACAGGUGGUGCAUGGUUGUCGUCAGCUCGUGUCGUGAGAUGUUGGGUUAAGUCCCGCAACGAGCGCAACCCCUAUCGUUAGUUGCCAGCAGUAAGAUGGGGACUCUAACGAGACUGCCAGUGACAAACUGGAGGAAGGUGGGGAUGACGUCAAAUCAUCAUGCCCCUUAUGACCUGGGCUACACACGUGCUACAAUGGUUGGUACAAAGAGAAGCGAAGCGGCGACGUGGAGCAAACCUCAUAAAGCCAAUCUCAGUUCGGAUUGUAGGCUGCAACUCGCCUACAUGAAGUUGGAAUCGCUAGUAAUCGCGAAUCAGAAUGUCGCGGUGAAUACGUUCCCGGGCCUUGUACACACCGCACUACUA